GGCGGCGUGCCUAAUACAUGCAAGUCGAACGCACAGCGAAAGGUGCUUGCACCUUUCAAGUGAGUGGCGAACGGGUGAGUAACACGUGGACAACCUGCCUCAAGGCUGGGGAUAACAUUUGGAAACAGAUGCUAAUACCGAAUAAAACUUAGUGUCGCAUGACACAAAGUUAAAAGGCGCUUUGGCGUCACCUAGAGAUGGAUCCGCGGUGCAUUAGUUAGUUGGUGGGGUAAAGGCCUACCAAGACAAUGAUGCAUAGCCGAGUUGAGAGACUGAUCGGCCACAUUGGGACUGAGACACGGCCCAAACUCCUACGGGAGGCUGCAGUAGGGAAUCUUCCACAAUGGGCGAAAGCCUGAUGGAGCAACGCCGCGUGUGUGAUGAAGGCUUUCGGGUCGUAAAGCACUGUUGUAUGGGAAGAACAGCUAGAAUAGGGAAUGAUUUUAGUUUGACGGUACCAUACCAGAAAGGGACGGCUAAAUACGUGCCAGCAGCCGCGGUAAUACGUAUGUCCCGAGCGUUAUCCGGAUUUAUUGGGCGUAAAGCGAGCGCAGACGGUUGAUUAAGUCUGAUGUGAAAGCCCGGAGCUCAACUCCGGAAUGGCAUUGGAAACUGGUUAACUUGAGUGCAGUAGAGGUAAGUGGAACUCCAUGUGUAGCGGUGGAAUGCGUAGAUAUAUGGAAGAACACCAGUGGCGAAGGCGGCUUACUGGACUGUAACUGACGUUGAGGCUCGAAAGUGUGGGUAGCAAACAGGAUUAGAUACCCUGGUAGUCCACACCGUAAACGAUGAACACUAGGUGUUAGGAGGUUUCCGCCUCUUAGUGCCGAAGCUAACGCAUUAAGUGUUCCGCCUGGGGAGUACGACCGCAAGGUUGAAACUCAAAGGAAUUGACGGGGACCCGCACAAGCGGUGGAGCAUGUGGUUUAAUUCGAAGCAACGCGAAGAACCUUACCAGGUCUUGACAUCCUUUGAAGCUUUUAGAGAUAGAAGUGUUCUCUUCGGAGACAAAGUGACAGGUGGUGCAUGGUCGUCGUCAGCUCGUGUCGUGAGAUGUUGGGUUAAGUCCCGCAACGAGCGCAACCCUUAUUGUUAGUUGCCAGCAUUCAGAUGGGCACUCUAGCGAGACUGCCGGUGACAAACCGGAGGAAGGCGGGGACGACGUCAGAUCAUCAUGCCCCUUAUGACCUGGGCUACACACGUGCUACAAUGGCGUAUACAACGAGUUGCCAACCCGCGAGGGUGAGCUAAUCUCUUAAAGUACGUCUCAGUUCGGAUUGUAGUCUGCAACUCGACUACAUGAAGUCGGAAUCGCUAGUAAUCGCGGAUCAGCACGCCGCGGUGAAUACGUUCCCGGGUCUUGUACACACCGCCCGUCACACCAUGGGAGUUUGUAAUGCCCAAAGCCGGUGGCCUAACCUUUUAGGAAGGAGCCGUCUAAGGCAGGACAGAUGAC
rnacentral:rRNA from 1 species